UCAACCGUUUCAUAAACUGCAGUCAACAACUGCUUUCCAAAUAGAAUCUACUUAUGCAUAAUUGGACAAGGAGAAUUAGUGAUAGAAUGGUGAAGCAUAUCAAAUAUGAUGAGGUAAUGGCAAGCACGAAUCCUUAG